rnacentral:rRNA from 1 species
UUAGCGAUAACGAACGAGACCGCCGCUUAAAUUAAGCCAGGCUAGCUUUGGCUGGUCGCCGGCUUCUUAGAGAGACUUCUGCUCAAGCAGAAGGAAGUAGGCGUCAAUAACAGGUCUGUGAUGCCCUUAGAUGUUCUGGGCCGCACGCGCGCUACACUGACAGAGCCAACGAGUUUCUUCCUUGUCCGAAAGGUCUGGGUAAUCUUGUUAAACUCUGUCGUGCUGGGGAUAGAGCAUUGCAAUC